UCGUGUUGUGAAAUGUUGGGUUAAGUCCCGCAACGAGCGCAACCCUUAUCCUUUGUUGCCAGCGGUUAGGCCGGGAACUCAAAGGAGGCUGCCAGUGAUAAACUGGAGGAAGGUGGGGAUGACGUCAAGUCAUCAUGGCCCUUACGAGUAGGGCUACACACGUGCUACAAUGGCGCAUACAAAGAGAAGCGACCUCGCGAGAGCAAGCGGACCUCAUAAAGUGCGUCGUAGUCCGGAUUGGAGUCUGCAACUCGACUCCAUGAAGUCGGAAUCGCUAGUAAUCGUAGAUCAGAAUGCUACGGUGAAUACGUUCCCGGGCCUUGUACACACCGCCCGUCACACCAUGGGAGUGGGUUGCAAAAGAAGUAGGUAGCUUAACCUUCGGGAGGGCGCUUACCACUUUGUGAUUCAUGACUGGGGUGAAGUCGUAACAAGGUAACCAAGGGCGAAUUCUG
rnacentral:rRNA from 1 species